CGCAUACUAGGGAGGGAUUCGGACGGAGGGAGUUCGACAGGGCGUGAAAGCAAAACACACGCCUCCCAUCCUCAGGCAUAAAAUCCGCCGCCAAAGCCCCUCUCGCCAUCCCCUUUUUUGGCUCCCGCACAGCGGAGGGGCUGGGGCCGAGAGCAAGGUGCCACGUCCGUGGGGCUGCGACCCUAAGGACCUAAGGAGGGAUGAGGAGGGGCGGUGGAGUGGGUGGCCACGUCUUCCGGGCCACUCGGUCCUCCCCACCUCUUCCAUCCCGCCCGCGACCUUCGACCUCGCAUCCCGGACCCACGGGGGACAGGGAGGAGACGCGCAAGGGAUACCAUUGUUUAUUCAUCGGCGGGCCUCCGCGGCGUUUUCCCUGGGUUUGAGGCGCUCACUCCCCUCCCCGCCCCCCAAGACUUGCUCUCCAGAGCCAACCCGGAUCUGUCUGGGUGCCCACGGCCUUCCCUAACGACUUGAAAGUCCUUCGACCGGCUCCCGCUUCCCGAGCACGGAAAACACAAAAGCCUGCAGGAAAUCACCCAGUCUUCGCCUGCUCACUGCUCACUCGGGGGCCCGGGAAAAUGAGCGGCUCCGACUCCCCUGGGUCUGAGCCACAGCUCGUCACCUACCCGGGUUAACUUCUGCGCCCGCUGGCCAAAGGCCCCAAGUGGCAGCGGGCACAGCUUCUUGCUGCGCUAGUCGCUUCCUCGGCCAGCCUUUCGAGCCUCGAGUCUGGCCCGGGGACCGUGAGUGCAAUUAGUAGCCAGGAACCCAGAGAUCCUGGGCUGUGCGGUGCAAAUGCACCCGGCCGGCUACACGAGACUCUUACUCGAGAAACUUGUUUGUCGUCCCCCACCUCGCCCCCGCCCGAAUCCCCCGCGUAAAUCUCUCGUGUUGAGAAAAGCAAGGCUUGCAGGAAACCACUCCGGAUGUUUGCUGCUUUUCAUGUGGCAUUUGUGGCGGGCUCUGAUAACGUCUAGAGCUCGACUUCCAACACCGCGUUUAGUAAAGAGACCGAAAUAGAAGAGUCCACACACACACCACGGACUGGUCUGCGGCGCCGCAGCCCCCAAAGCCCUCCCCCCCCAAAUACAUGACAAAUGAAUGGUCAGAAGAAUUUAAAUCUAGGUAACGGUAGGUAAAAGGGACUAGUCUUAAAAAGGCACCGUAAUUCCCAACUGGCAAAUACAAGUAAACUACGAUUUUAUAACUGCCAGGAAAGGCGUUCUAAGAAGUGGGGGAGGGACGCAAAACCCGAAUAUCCCACUCCAUCCUGUGGAUGCUGUGCUUUCACCUGAGUUCUCAGUAAUCUUACCUGACAACAGUCAGCAGUCUGUCUCCAGGAACACUGCAAAUAAUAAUGGAGAUCUCCAGGUUGUAUCUCCCAUCAGCGCCUCUCUGCAUCUCUCCUUGGAAUGGUGUGGGCCAGGAAGAAGAGGAUGAAGAAAAUGUACAAGGGUAAAUCCAUG
rnacentral:lncRNA from 1 species